UGUGCACGAGAGGCGGGGCCAGUUCAGGAGACGCAACGUCGUAUCAUUGAGCGAUGCUUUCAGUAUGUGUCUGAUCUGUCACAACGACUUGAAUCAAGGAACCGGUGGCACCAGAGAGCUGCAGUGCACGCACACCUUCCACAAAGAGUGUAUAGAGGAGUGGCUGUGGAGGAAACAGUCCUGUCCCACGUGUCACGUUCAGGUGUCCGUACCUCAGCCCGUCUACUGGACCUCCACCAGGGUCAAAGUCCCCUGAAACCACCAGGAAGGGAGAGCGACAUCAUCAAACUUCCUUAAAACCUGCGGCAGUUUACUGCGACAUCAUCGAAGUCUUCUCAAAUCUAAAGCGUUGGACUGAACCCGUCCUCACCCCAGGUCGUCACAUAUGGACGCGCGGUCAAGACUGUUGCGUUGGGAAGCCCCUCAGCGUCACAACGCACUGCGGGAAGCCCUGUAGCGUCACUUUAAAAAGCUAAAGGUAGGUGUAGGAUAUUUAACAGGACAGUCAGAGUAAGGAGCUGGUUGGGGUGGACUGUGGCCCAGAAACCGGACUUUUACCCCGGAGACUGGUGUUCAUUCCCGUGUGACACAAAAAGUCAGCGUUGAAUGUUUUUUUGAGGUUACUUAACAUUCGUAAGUUAACUGACGUAUGUUGUUAUUUUUAAGCCAAACCACAAUCUUUUCUGAACCUAACAAAGUAGUUUUGCUGCCUAAACUUAACCGAAUUACGAUAUUUCACGAAAUUAACACCUACGUUUAUUUUGAAAGUCUAACUGGACGUUGCCAAAGUCCUUAUAGGCAAGUCCUGCCACUCGGCCGCCAACUUGGCAGCACCUCCGGGCAGCUAUUUCGGACUAACAAGACCAGGCUCCUGUCUGAAUGAAUGGGCAGAGCUGCACUUUCACCGGGACAUAAAAACAGAACCAGCAGUCAAAUCUGAAAGUUUGAAGACUUUGCCCCAAAAUAAGGUUUAAAAAGAGUUUUUCCCGACUGGUUUUACUUCUACCACGCAUGCGCAGGAGAAGUAAAACAGAUGGAAC